rnacentral:rRNA from 1 species
GUGGGGAAUAUUGGACAAUGGGCGAAAGCCUGAUCCAGCCAUGCCGCGUGUGUGAAGAAGGUCUUCGGAUUGUAAAGCACUUUAAGUUGGGAGGAAGGGCAGUAAGUUAAUACCUUGCUGUUUUGACGUUACCGACAGAAUAAGCACCGGCUAACUUCGUGCCAGCAGCCGCGGUAAUACGAAGGGUGCAAGCGUUAAUCGGAAUUACUGGGCGUAAAGCGCGCGUAGGUGGUUUUGUAAGUUGGAGGUGAAAUCACCGGGCUCAACCUGGGAACUGCCUCCAAAACUGCAUGACUAGAGUACGGGAGAGGGGAGUGGAAUUUCCUGUGUAGCGGUAAAAGGCAUAGAUAUAGGGAGGAACACCAGUGGCGAAGGCGCCUAGCUGGACUGAUACUGACACUGAGGUGCGAAAGCGUGGGGAGCAAACAGGAUUAGAUACCCCAGUAGUCC